CGCAGCCGCGGUAAUUCCAGCUCCAAUAGCGUAUAUUAAAGUUGUUGCAGUUAAAAAGCUCGUAGUUGAAUUUCGGGAUCAACAUGUCGGUCGUGCCUUCGGUACGUACUGGUAUCAUUGGUCUCUCCUUUCUGACGAACCAUGAUGUCAUUAAUUUGGUGUUAUGGGGAGUUAGGACUGUUACUUUGAAAAAAUUAGAGUGUUUAAAGCAGGCUUUAGCUUGAAUACAUUAGCAUGGAAUAAUGAAAUAGGACGUUCGAACCUAUUUUGUUGGUUUCUAGGAUCAACGUAAUGAUUAAUAGGGAUAGUUGGGGGCAUUAGUAUUCAAUUGUCAGAGUGAGAUUCUUGGAUUUAUUGAAGACUAACUACUGCGAAAGCAUUUGCCAAGGAUGUUUUCAUUAAUCAAGAACGAAAGUUAGGGAUCGAAGACGAUCAGAUACCGUCGUAGUCUUAACCNUAAACUAUGACCGACUAGGGAUCGGAUGAUGUUUAAUUUUUAUGUACUUCAUUCGGCGCCGUA
rnacentral:rRNA from 1 species